rnacentral:lncRNA from 1 species
UAGAUGUGUUUAAAUGCUUGCGGGUUGCCACUCGCAUCCUUCCCUCUUGCAAAAUAAAUGGACGUCCGAUCUCCAUUCCUUUCACUGCCUCGAGUUCCGCCGCCCACCCGCACCCCCAAGCUUGAUCUCUCCAUCUCCAGCGGAAAGAAGGUGCACGUGCCCUCCAAAUGACUCUCCCUCUCAACUAUCUUUGGUUCAUGUCACAAAGGCAACAAGAAAGCAGGUUUUCGCAAAAAAAAUUGUGUAGCAAAACUAACAUUAAAAAAAAAUUGCUACUUUCUUAGAUUCAUAAUAAGUGUGCUUUGGCGA